UGGGGGUGCUUCCUUUCCGUGGGGGGCGCGGAGGGCGGGGGCCCGCGCCAACCUCCGACACUGCAAACGACAGACACACCAGGAAAGGACCUGUGAGUCCCUGGAGAAGAGGACCUGCUUGUUUUGCUCAAGGGGGGCGUCCUCAGAGCAAAGCAGGAUACCUGUAUACACAUCCUUAUGAGAGAAGCAGCACAUCAUGGAAAAAAACACAAAGGCAAACAACAAAUCAAGAGCCCAGCAGCUAAAGCCUCCAUUCAGAUUAAGGUGGCCCCCAGUUGGACAAAAUGGUAUGGAGAAAAGAAACUAAAAGCAUGGCUGCCCCAAAGGAUUCUCAUAAGCUGAAGACACUGAAAAUAAGUCUAGAGAGGAAGGAAGGUGUCUUGAAAAGAGAAUUGUGUCUGUGGCUGCGGCUAACAGGGAUCAGAUCAUUCGAGGAUGGAAACCCAGGCCUGCCUCUGAGCCCACCCAAUUUCCACUCCCCUGAACUGCCUCCCGUGGACUGUAACCUGUACCACUGAGCAGGAGACAAUCUCCUCAGUGUCAAGGGCGGUAUUUAUUAGACGCAUAGCUGUGCCUGGCACAAAG